AGAGUUUGAUCCUGGCUCAGGACGAACGCUGGCGGCAUGCCUAAUACAUGCAAGUCGAGCGAACAGAUGAAGUGCUUGCACUUCUGACGUUAGCGGCGAACGGGUGAGUAACACGUAAGGAAUCUACCUAUAAGCGGGGGAUAACAUUCGGAAACGGGUGCUAAUACCGCAUAAUAUCUUCUUCCGCAUGGAAGGAGAUUGAAAGACGGCUCUGCUGUCACUUAUAGAUGACCUUGCGGUGCAUUAGUUAGUUGGUGGGGUAACGGCCUACCAAGACGAUGAUGCAUAGCCGACCUGAGAGGGUGAUCGGCCACAUUGGGACUGAGACACGGCCCAAACUCCUACGGGAGGCAGCAGUAGGGAAUCUUCCGCAAUGGGCGAAAGCCUGACGGAGCAAUGCCGCGUGAGUGAAGAAGGCCUUCGGGUCGUAAAACUCUGUUAUAAGAGAAGAACAAAUUGUAGAGUAACUGCUACAGUCUUGACGGUAUCUUAUCAGAAAGCCACGGCUAACUACGUGCCAGCAGCCGCGGUAAGACGUAGGGGGCGAGCGUUGUCCGGAAUUACUGGGCGUAAAGAGCACGUAGGCGGGAUUUUAAGUCAGGUGUGAAAGACCGUGGCUCAACCACGGGGUUGCACAUGAAACUGGAAUUCUUGAGGGCAGGAGAGGAAAGUGGAAUUCCCGGUGUAGCGGUGAAAUGCGUAGAAAUCAGGAGGAACACCGGUGGCGAAGGCGACUUUCUGGACUGACCCUGACGCUGAGGUGCGAAAGCGUGGGUAGCAAACAGGAUUAGAUACCCUGGUAGUCCACGCUGUAAACGAUGGAUACUAGGUGUGGGAGGUAUCGACCCCUUCCGUGCCGCAGCAAACGCAAUAAGUAUCCCGCCUGGGGAGUACGGUCGCAAAGCUGAAACUCAAAGGAAUUGACGG
rnacentral:rRNA from 1 species